rnacentral:lncRNA from 1 species
AUGAGCUCAUCCAGUGACUCAAGCGAAGAUGAGAAUGUUGAACGGCUGAGAGAUGCUCUAGACGUACGAUUCAUCAGUGAUUCCUUGUACUCCUCUGAUGGUAAAGCAGAUUUGAAAAUCAAAGAGCCUGAGAAACCCAAACCGUUACCCUCCAACCGGCCAGUUCCAGAGGAAUUUGUUACGCACCAUUUAAAAGUUACCCCCGAGUUCCAGUCUUUCGUUUCAAAGCAACUCUCAAAAUUUCUUGACGAGCAAAUCAAAGAAGUCGAAAAGAAAAAACCGAAGAGAAAGACUGAACCAGAUGGCAUGUCAGGAAUUUAUCUCCUCAGGAACUCUAAGUCUUUUUUAAGCAGUGAAGAACCAGAUCAUCAUUUCAUCCCCACCAAGAGGUGUAGACGUAAGAAACAUACAAUUAACUGCACAGAGGAAGACAUGCUGGAGGUUGUCGUCAACCCUGAGUGGGUGUUGAAUGGCGAAGGGACUAAAGGUUGGCAGAGGAAUGCAAAAAAAAGCCCUCUGUUCAGCUACAAAAAAAAUAAAGAAGGCACGUUGGAGCUUAUAAGUGAGACCAGCUGAAGUUAAAUGCUGCCUUUAGCUCCUAUGAGAUGAGUCAUGACAUUUUGGUCUUCUGAGUAGCCUGUGUUCGUGUGAGAGGCUAGGGAAAGCAUAUGGUUUGUCUCAAUUUCAGUAGAUGCAAAUCAUGGAUUGCAGCUUACUUUGUCCGUGGCCCUUUCUUCCCUAAAAAUGAGUCGAUGGCAUCAAAAGUUUCUCUCUUCCUAGUUCCUCAAAUAAGCAGUAAGCCGGCACUGCAAACUUGGUUCUCGCCAAGACAUCUUGUGUCAUGCGACAUUUUAGAUUCCUACUCCAUCUUAAAAGCAAGGCCUUGUCCCUUUUAAGGAACAGCUUUUGUGCCUAUUUUCUAAUUGAGAUGAUGAUAUGAUGGAUGUUAAAAGUCAUUGAAAUAUCAAAAACAUUUUGAUGAAAUACUGAUUUCUCUUUUGACUUCCAGUAAAAAACCCAUUUGUUUCCAUGCAUAUUUCUGUACAAGUAGCAUUUAAAAAAGUCUGUGAUAAAAGUAGAUUAGUUUUCUUUCCAUGUUUGAGAUUAUAUCUGACCAGAUCUAUGAAAUGGGACCUUAUCUUAAAAGCAAGGCCUUGUCCCUUUUAAGGAACAGCUUUUGUGCCUAUUUUCUAAUUGAGAUGAUGAUAUGAUGGAUGUUAAAAGUCAUUGAAAUAUCAAAAACAUUUUGAUGAAAUACUGAUUUCUCUUUUGACUUCCAGUAAAAAACCCAUUUGUUUCCAUGCAUAUUUCUGUACAAGUAGCAUUUAAAAAAGUCUGUGAUAAAAGUAGAUUAGUUUUCUUUCCAUGUUUGAGAUUAUAUCUGACCAGAUCUAUGAAAUGGGACCUUAUCCUCUGAAAGAAAAUACUCAAAAUUCCUUAAAUGCAUGGAGGCAGAAAAUGUCGAAAUUUUCGCGCAAGUUUGAUGGUGAAAGCUGGGGGAUGUGAGUCCUUAAGUGCUAAGACGAAAAUUCUCAGAUUGCAGAAAAACGUGUUUUAAGUUUUUCCAAAGAAUAAGGGAAAAUUUUCUCCUGGAAGAUGAGGUCUCUUUUCACAGAUCCGCUUACAUUUGUUGAAUGUAAUUUUAAGGUAGGUAUAACAUAAAUCUUCUUUCCUGUGUAGUAGUAAUAUAGAUAGCUGUUCCAUGGAGAAACUAACACCUGGAUUAUCUGAUGCCAUUUAGCAGAUGGGAACCAACAAGCAGAUCACAUUGUUUUCAUAAUCAUGCAACUUUUUCGAUUUAAAAGUACUAAGUAAUUAUUAGUGCAGCAUUAAAAUAUAUAGAUACCAUGGUUUUCCCUUAAAAUUAACAAGUUUUUGGUAGAAAAACGAAAAGUAUUCCCUUCUGCUAAAUGCAAACCUAUUAUGGGCCCUUCCUCCAGAACCCUCUUUAACUAGAAUUUUUGCAAGAUCACUCAAAUGAAAUAUUUGAGAAUAAUAUAUAAGAUGAAUAAAAGAUAGAGCUUAAAGUUAGUAUCAAAGGAAGAAUUUCAACAGAGCAAUAUUAGAAAAUACAGGCAUCAGUUAUUGCAGACCUCAGUUGUGAUCUCCACCCAAAAUACAGCUGUGUUAAAAACCUGAAAAGUACAGUCGUGAGGUUUUGCCAAGUACUUCCAUAUGUUUUUGUAAAACCUAGAAAAUGUAUUGAGUCGAUUUAUGAAUGAAUAUGUUCAAUUUAUCAUGAUUUCAUCAUUAAAAGUUGAUCAAGUAAACCCAUUAUGUAUUAUUACUCAUGAUGAUCUUUUUCCCUACAAAAGAGUUAUACACAUUUGAAGAAUGGAAAUUCAAAACCCGGUAAGUGCCAUCCCCCAUUCCCUGGAAAUAACAAUUCUUAACAUAAAAAUAAGACCUUAAUUCAGAGGAAAUUCUCCCAACUAAUCGUGUAUGAAGCAAAGGCUUAUAGGUUUUAUUUUAGCGAGGCAUGCUACGCAAAUCUUCACAACAUCUGAUAGCGCUUACCACGUUUUGAAUUUCCACUGUAUUAUCUAUGUUAUCUAUGGUGUUAUCUAUGGGACCGUAAACCAUCGGUACAUGUCAAUUGAGGCAAUUAUUUUCCAAAUAAUGUAAGUACAAGAUAUCUAGAAAGAAUUGAAAAACUAAGGCUGCCAUUAGACCUGCAGUCAGUCUUAGCACUGCUAAAACGUUUGUUUCUUUAGACUGCAAUUUAGAAUUCAGAAGUUAAUGUCGUCCAAAAAAUGUGCAGUGACAACCUUCUCACCCAAAAACUGGCGUUUGCGUCAUUCAUAAAAUAAUCAUUCGGUUAUAAAACUACGAAACCAUAUAUUAUUCACACUUGAUAUAUCAUUUUACUUUUAUGGAGAACAACUAAUAAUUGCCUUUUUUGUGCAACAUUUUGUUUGAUUUCCUCCUGCUCUUUCAAGAUCAUUCUCUGGAAAUUUCACCCUAAACGGUCCAAUAACCCCCUCUUGAGGAAUUUAAGCAGAUGUAAAGAUUCUGAGAAAAUUACUACUAAGAUGUAAGUUUUGUGGUCUCUUCGCUAGUUUAGAAUGUCGCCUAGCUUGCACUUGAUUUCUAUUCUUAAUGAUAGAAAAUUUCUGUCACAAUCAAAGUUAUCUACGAAAAAAAAAUCAGAUUUUUUCUCCAUCUCAAAAAAGUCAUUUCUCUUUACUUAGGCAGUCAUCCUUCAAAUCAGCAACUUUCCCCCUCUACUUUACCGCCCUCUCAAUUCAAAAUCUUUGCAGCUUUCAACAGGGCCGGAUUCACCUACUU